UCUCGGUCUGCUUUUGCUCAGAGGGAUUGCCUUUUGGCAGGAAAUCCUUGCAAGGAACAUUACCGUGCGAGCACAGAGAAGGAGGGAAAGAUGCCGGCGAACAAAGAACCCCGAGGAGCUCCUGCGCUGGGCAGGGGGCGCGGAGCCGCCCCGGCCCGCGGGGAGCUGGAGACAAUGUCAAGCAGUUGGCAAAAUCCCAUGUCACAGGUCUGUCACAGCAGGAAAAAGAAGACCCUGGUGGAACAUUGCACUCAUAAAACAACAACAAAAAAGAAGAAACAAUUAUGAAACAGGAAUAUUUGAGGACAUGUUGUGAAACACCCUUGUGGUAUGGAUCAUUAUAACACCCAUGGAAAAGUGAAAUUAGGAAAGUAUUUCAUGCAACUUCAACUUCAUAACACUUUAACAGCUGGGACUGGGGAGAGCCAGCAGUAUGUGACUGGCCAGUUCUCCACUGCAGGCCAUUUCUGACAACAUCUGAGAAUAUUGUUUUAUAGUACACUGUAAACUUCUAACUUUUUUGUCUGAGUACAUUAUUGGCUGUUUCUAAGGAUUCUGCCUUUCUUGAGUGCUCUGUCCCUUUCUAUCUCUCUUAUCCUCUCUGCUGAUUUAACCAAAGCUAGGAGGUGUGAAAGGCACUACCCUCCAAGUCACAGAUUGCUGAUACUAUGUGUCAGUUCAGGGGCAAGAGGAGAGGCGCCAUAGGCCUGUACAGUCUUUUCUUCCAGGAAACUGGAAGAAGGUCUGGUCAAGUAUUCCUCACUAUCUCUGCUUUUUGAAAAAGGAUUUAAUUUCCAGCCGAACACCUACCUCUAAUGAAACAUUGUUUUUUCUGGAAAUUACCAGUACAGAGCUGGGGCUGUACUGCAGUCCUACCUGCAUACCAAGAGAGCUGCUGGUGGGGGAAGAUGGGUGUUGGGGGUUGGGGUUUGUUCUCUUACUGUCCCAGUGUAAAGAAUUUUCCCCAUUAUUAUGCUAAGGAAGCCUGUUGGGUUACACCCAUGCUCUUUUCAGGACCCUACACAAAGGGGUAGGUAGGGGGCUGAGUGCCUGGGUUUUUCACUCUUGCUGGCGAGGUCUGAGAAGAAGGAGGAGGACUGCCCCAUCUCCAGCCCAGGCGGUCGGAACAUCGGGGAGCGAAGUUCUCUGCGGUCGGACACUGCCCUGCAUCUGCUCCACAUCCAGCCUACUGCCUCUGAGACCACAGCUGAAACCAAAGACCCAAAGGGUGAGCGGAGAGCCCUUCCUCCACCUUUUCUCCUCUACGUGGGACACAGCUGCCGCUGCCACCUUCCCCCCUCCCAUCCGCCGCCUCCGCAGCAGCGCGGAUCCUGCCCACCGCCUUCCACCACCGGGGCCGAGCGCAGAGUGUGUCUGCGGCUGGAAAAAGGACUGGAACUGAGUUAUUUGUUCUGUUUUGUUUUUAAUUUUCAACUGCUGUUGUUUCUGUUUGUCCGGUUAGAUAUAUUAGUAAAGAGCUCUUCUUCCUUCCCCCUUAUCUCUGCCUGAGAGCCCCUGAUUCAAAAAUUAUAAUACUUGGGAGGGAGAGGACUUACAUUUUCUAUUUCAAAGAGGAGCUUCUGCCUUUAUUGGCAGACCCUGUCCUUCAAACCAGGACAAUGGGUACACCAUUGGAGGAGAAGUCUUCAGGGCAUCCUUCGUCUGAGAGACUAGGGGCUGGCUAUUGCUGUGUUGUUGCAGGGGAUUUUCAGGGGUGUGGAGGGACCUCUCUCUUCCUUUCUAUACAGUUUAUUCUAGUGGGUUUUCCGCUCUUUUAAAGAUGACUAACAACAGGGGAGAUUCCCUCUGUGCCCACUUAGAGCUAUUUUCUGACUCUGUUGAAUAAAACAUGCUAUCCAGGAUAAAUACAUUUUAACAAGCCAAUUUAACCUGUGGGGUUUUUAUAUUCAUUUAAUGUUUCUCUCCUUUUUUCCUCAUGAAGAAGGGCUACCUGCUCAUUGUUUGUAAUUAGAAAGACUCUUUGAAGAUGGCUUAAGGUAUUGAACUGACCAAGUUUAUUUUGUUUCAUCAUUAGAAUUAUACAGAACACAAUACAAAUGUGUACAUUACCAAUCCAAAAUGAGUGUUCUGUUGAAAUGAUUGCAAUAGGAAUUGAGUAAGCUCUGCCAGAUAUAUUACUCCAGUUGUAUUUGUACACACUUAUUUACAGUAUAGCCAUUGUCACAGAUAGAUUGCAAGACUGGAUGGAUGACUGGUUUGGCCCCAGAGGACAUUUCUCAUGUACCUGCCUUGUUAAAGCCCUCAGAAGCCCAGGAGCAUUUCUGCAUGGCUUAUUUCUGGGUAUCCCUAAGCAAGGAUGUGCUGCCAGCUCUCCUUCAUAAUGCAGCACCUGGGAGCACCACCAUGCCACUGUCAAGUGAGGCAUCUCUCAUGAGAAUAUAGUUCACAAGAAUGCAGUUUAAUUGAAACAUUAUGGACACUGGCUAAAAAUGCACCGUUUUGACCAAUAUGAUAUGAGGUUGUAUUGCGAUGUCUUUCUCCCUCAGUCUUUCAUAAAAUUCCUGUAGGAGCUAAAAGUAAAGGUUGUCUUAGAAGUGUGAUGUGAGGGAAAAAAGCGUUCUUCAUUUCAGCUGUUCUUUAAUGUGAAUAUUGCAAGAGGAGAUGACAUUGUUGGGUAGAAGGUUCUUAGAAGGCUAAACUCACUGUGAACAUCUGUUUCAGUACUAACCUGGAAGCAUGAAUUUAGUUUCUCAGUGGUUAUUCAUCAGUUCUGAAAAAAACAUAGAAAUCGUUUCCAGGUUCAAAUUAGACAAAACAAUGUGCGCUCUGUGACAUACUGGACCUCACUUUUAUGGCAAGAACCUCCAGUUUCUUUGGCAGUUCAAAGCAGAGCUCUAUAGUGCACUGAAAGUUUUGUGUCAGCUUCAUAAACAUUCCCAAACUGCAAUAUAUCUAGCAGUGAGUGAUUUGAUUACAUAUAUUAGGUGGAUUGAAAUUGCUCCUUAUAUAUGGCUUGAUCAAGGUUUCAUCUGGGGUUUGGGCAUGGUGAAGAUGGAAGGAGCUUGAAACAGAGAAUGGAAGAUCUUCUGUAUAUAUUGAAGCCGGAGGACUUGUGUUUUAGGGAUUUAAUGAAUACAAACUCCCCCUAUUUUUUCUAUAUUUGCUGUGAGCACUAGUUUUGUCUGCUGGAUGAUGGGUGGGCAAGAAGUGUAGGGUGUGUUCUGGAUGAGCUGGAAGAUUAAUGAAUUCUCUGUAGAAAUAAAGGGUUGGGCCCAGGCACGUCAGAUCCAGACAGGGCUGUUCUACUUGGAUGGAUCUCUUCUGGGAUGUUGCAGCACAUAAGGUAAGGUAGUCAUUGAAACAGUUUCUGAGUAGUGUUUGCUACUAUAGAUACUCCAAAUGGCAAAUAUAUUGAAAGCUGAAAUCCGUGUUGAAAUGUUUUUUUUUUUCUCUUUUGGACCAAGUGGGUUUUUUAGAUUAUAACUGGUGUAUUAGCCAGUGCAAUUCCAGGGCAAAGAACUUUCAAAUUUGAUUGUUUAUAAGUAUUGGGACCUUUCUGUCAUGUAACUCAGUGCCAUCUAUGGCUUAUCUGAAACUUUUGGUGAGGUCUGUAACUGGAGACAAGACCAUUUUCAAACUUAAUAUAUUUCACCUGAUUAGAAGCAGGGUCCAAAAAGGUCUCCUCCACAGUCAAAUAAUGAGGUGAUAAAGCUAGUCCAAGUAUAAUUUCAAACCAAAGAAUACUUUGCUUUUAUUAGACUAUAUUUUGUAAGGCAGAUUAUGGGAACAAAGGUAGGAAUAACUGUGGAAGUGCAAAUAAGAGUGUCUGCAGCUGAUGAGUAGCUGGCUAAUGUCCAUCUCAUAAUAGUCCAAGAUAUGGCAGAGGAAAUUGCAAGUCUGGUAGAAAGGAAUUUUCCUAACCUGUGAACUCCAGCACUUUAUGGCUGGGGGAUAAUGCCUGUAGCACCUUUCGUUACAGAAAGGGAAAAAUAAUCUGGGCAGCUCAUUAGCGUCACCUCAGUUUUAUGUAGAGAUUUGAAACAAUAGAGAACAAAGAAAGGCAAGUGGAGAAGUAAAAAUUAAAAGCAACUGGGGUUUUUCAAAGGUGAAUUGUACCAAGUUACAUAAUAUUUCUCUUUUACAAGGUAAUUCCUCUGCAAAGGAAGUGAUGUGUAGAGAUUCAGUAUAGCAGGGUUUCAGUGCCACUGAGCUGUGCAGGAGUCUAAAAGAACCUAAGGGAGAUUGGAAUUUGCAGGUAGACUCUCAAGUGGUAGGGAACAGUUUAAAGAAGAGCCCAUAGAGCUGCCACCUGAAACGGCAAGGGCUGAGCUGGAGGAGCCGUGGUGUUCCUCCUGUAGUAUCUGAAAAGUGUUUCUGUUUAAUUGUGCCAUUGAUAACUUUGUCACCAGAAGUCACAGCAUGCUAAAACACAGGCUGAGGAUAUCAGCAGGGCAGCAUUGUUGCCUGCUGAAACGAAGGUUUGAAAUAAUAUCCUGGUAAAACCAGAGCGACCUUCAGGUGGUGUGUGAGCAGUUAGACAAAAUACAGCAAGGCAAAGGGCAAAGUGAAGGAAGUUAACACCUCAGAACACAUUCCUUUGAUGAGACAUCCUAAUGUAGCCUCUUAUGCUGAGUAACAGUUGCUGGCUUUAUUAAACUUUUAAUUAGGUGAUGCCAAGCUACUGUUUCUCAUAGCAUGUCAACCGAGUUUCAUGCAAAGUUGGCUGGAGUUACUCCAACAGUUAGGGGUGGAUCAGGCAAUUUGUUCUGGGGGACACUUGCUUUUUCUUCUGCAGGAGUUAAAGGUAUUGUAUGGAUUGUAUGAAGGGCAAUGCAGAAGGAUAAUGGCAAAUGCAUGUAAUCACUGUUUAUUAUCUACAUCAAGAGCAGGACUUUCUGAUGGUAGCACUGCUUAAGGCAAAAUUUCCAUUUUGGGGGAAAAAAAAACCCAAAGAAUUUUUAAAAUUAUUUAUGCAAUUUUGGAAAAAGUGAAGUCAGUGUUUAGGAAUGUGUUGAUUGUCAGAAAAGUUUUGGUUGUUCUACUGCUUCCUAAAAAAACCUGAUUUUUAAAAAAGGAAAAUUUUUAGAUGUUUGGAGGGUAGCUUAAUAAACACUGGUAAAAAAUGUUGAUAUUAAAAAUACAAUAAUCUUAUCUAUAUGCAUACAUGCUGCAUUUAUAUAGUUUAGUUAGUACUUUUUAAAGUUAAAUAGAAUUAUGAUUAAACAUUUAAUAUUAUCAUGUCUCUAUUCUCAGCUCUAGCACAGGAGGCUUUUAGAGGUAGAUUGUUGACACCUACUUUGCAGUGACUGCGACAAGUUAGUGUUAGGCUGGGGAAUGUAUUUCCAGAAAUGGUGCAUAUUGCUGUUGGGAGAAGUACAGAUUUGCAUUCUUUAGUGUUUAGACUUAGAAAUAGGGAGAGGGGAGAUGUAGGUCUUGCUUUUUUCUGUUAUCACUGUUGACUCACUUUGAGAAGAUUUUUGAUCUUGGGUCACUCUAAUUAACUUACAAUUCCAAACUAAUGUGUCUGCCUAUGUAGCAUACGUUUCAGAAAGCCCAAUCAGCCAGUUUAUUCUAGCUUUGGGAGUAGACAUACAAACUAAAAAAAAACCAAUGCAGAUUGAGGUGCUGAACAUCAGGCAUCUGAUUUCGAGAAAAAAAUAGUUCUGCUCUUAAUCUGUCUUCCUUUAGUUUCUUCAUUAUAUCAGACCCCAAGUUGCAAACCAAGCUUAUCUUGAUGUUUUCCUUUGCUUUUUUCAAGGGAAAAAAAUCUUGCUGCUUCCAUUCAUCAGAGUUUUGGACAGAGCAAGGGCAGAGAAUAAAAUUAUUAAGCCUAGGUCAGAACCUCUCUUGAUUCUUUGUGACUUCCAGAACUCCAUUGUAAGUCACUCAGAUACACCUACAGCACCAGGAAUUAAUCAUCUGCUGACAGAGGGAGAGUGAAAAGCCAUUAGUUUUAUAGAAAGGCUCCUAUAAAACUAUAAAAAAAAGCUUUUCCCCCUUGAAAUUCCAUUGCUGUUUGAUUCUUUCCAAGAGAUGAUGUUGAAACUGAGGAUAAAUUCAGUUUCAGCAUUUUCAUAUUCUUUGCAGUCACUGCCAGGAAAGUGCUCAAGUCUUAUGCAACAGUGGUCUGGAAUCCUUUCAAGGUUUGCUUUGGUCGUCACAGCACUGUAAUGAUCUCAGCUCCAUGCAUCCCUAGUGCUGGAUGCAAUCUGCUUGGAGAGGCUUCUCUGUACAGGGCUGAAACUUCAGAAGCAAUCACAGGAUCAUAGAAAUCCCUGAGCUGGAAGGCCCCCAUCUGGAUCAUCAAGUCCAGCUCCUGGCCCUGCACAGAACCAUCCCCAAGAGUCACACCAUGUGGCUAAGAGUGUUGUCCAAACACUUUGUGAGCUCUGUCAGGCUUGGAACUGUGACCAGUUUGCUGUGGUGCCCAAACAUCCUGCGGCUGUGAAACCUUUUCCUAAUACCCAACCUCCCCUGACACAGCUUCAUGCAUGCCCUCAGGUCCAGUCUGUGAGUUGUAUUUUCAGGAACCCUCCUGUGUGGCACUGGACCAAAUGGAUGGAGUGAUUCUAUGUGCAGCACAUGUACAGCGCAGGUACAGCUGUGUUCCCACCCGUGAGUAGCCCCACCUGGCACAGUGGCAGCCUCGCCCAGCAAACGAGCAAACAGUGCUGCAGGUUGUGGACCCCAGAUGCAGCAGCCCAUAAAAGCUUGCUCAUGUGCCUUCAUAUAGUGAAGCCCUCCUUACCCCCCAUAGUCCUGGUGUUCCGGUUGAUCCUACUGCACACAUGGGCUUUUUGUACCCUCACAGCUCCUGGGAGAUGCAGAUGCCAAGAAGUAGGCUCUUCUUUCACGUGUCCCCCUCUACUGUUUAGAGCAUCAUCUAAGCACCCGACUGGUUUUAUUUUAAUGUAGAAAGAUACACAAUGUGAUUCAGAAUUCGCCUUUGGCUUUCCAGUUUUUCGAAAAGGCUGCCUUGUGUAAUAAUUUUCAAGAAGUUGCAGUGAUUUCCCCAUUCCCCUCAGACUGCCACAUCACUGAUUCCUCAUUCCGGAAGGAGAUGGUGUUGCCUAAUGGCUGGAACAUUGUAGCCUUGUCACCUUUUUAAUAGCACCUCUCUCUUACUAUCCAUAUGACCUACAGCACAGGGGCUAAGCUAUUUCUUUAUCACUUUUACUGUCUGUGAAAGAUUAAAACCACCAACUUUAUGGGAUGUUGUAAAGCUUUAAUGGCUCAAAAGUACUUUGAAAUUAUCAAGUUAUUAUUGCAAAUAAUUGCCCAGAGAGUAUUAUAAUUCUCUAAUUCUCCUCUGAUGCAUGAUGUCUGGCUAGUAAGUGUCCCUUCUGUGUUUGUUUGGGGUUUUUUUAGUAGCUAAAUUGCUUUAGCAUGGAGAAACAGGAAUAGUUCAUGCAAACACUAAAACCUCUGAAAAUGGAAAAAACCAGUACUUAUAUGAGACAGGGAAAGAAUGACUCAGUAAUUAGUUUUUGGAAGAAAAGAUUUGAUAGGGAAAGUGGAUAAAUUUAAAGGUCAGUCCUGGUUACAAAAUAAUAUUCGGAUUACUUAAUACAAUACCAGUUUUUCUGUUAUUUCAUCCUUAUGAGAUAAAAUGCUUGCAGUUAUUCAGGCAGCAGACUCUUCCCUUAAGAAAUUCAAGCAAUCCAAAUAAUAUCUGCCUCUCCCUCGUUGAAGGCAUAUUUCCACAAACUCUCACCUCUCUCUCCACCCUCAGGAUUACUGGAUGGAAAUUAUAAUGAGAAGGAAACUUGAUAUAUUCUUUUUCUUCAAACUUGUAGAAUUGUGAUACCCAAAGGAAUCAGUACUUUGUGACUUCUCUAUUUUGUUAUGAAGA